CCAGCAGCUCGGCCGGCAACAGCUUGCCCGCCAGCAGUGCGGAGAUGAACGUGUGCAGGUCCUGUGUGGUGGAGAUCAUGUCUCCACCGCUGGA
rnacentral:tRNA from 1 species